rnacentral:pre_miRNA from 1 species
ACAACAUUCGAUCGUCGGUCUACCGAGCAAUAUCACCAGCUCCGUGGAAGAUCUUCCUUUUGUCGU